rnacentral:rRNA from 1 species
AUUGAACGCUGGCGGCAGGCCUAACACAUGCAAGUCGAACGGAGCGGCGGACGGGUGAGUAAUGUCUGGGAAUCUGCCUGAUGGAGGGGGAUAACUACUGGAAACGGUAGCUAAUACCGCAUACUAUCAGAUGAGCCCAUGUCGGAUUAGCUAGUUGGUAGGGUAACGGCCUACCAAGGCGACGAUCCCUAACUGGUCUGAGAGGAUGAUCAGUCAAACUGGAACUGAGAAACGGGCCAGACUCCUACGGGAGGCAGCAGUGGGGAAUAUUGGACAAUGGGCGAAAGCCUGAUGCAGCCAUGCCGCGUGUAUGAAGAAGGUCUUCGGGUUGUAAAGUACUUUAAGUUGGGAGGCGUUACCAACAGAAGAAGCACCGGCUAACUUCGUGCCAGCAGCCGCGGUAAUAC